CAGGAGUUCAUUUAUGAUAAUCAUAGAUGGGAUGCAAAUCUCGUUACCUAUCGUCGUUACAUAGAUGACAUAUUUUUUAUUUGGAAGGGCGAUGAGGCAUCCCUUAACUCCUUUUUGAUCCAUCUAAAUACUAAUGAUCGUGGUAUUAUACUUACCAGUCACUAUAGUAAAACUUCGGUCGAAUUUUUGGACCUUAACAUAUAUGUGGAGGAUGAUAUUCUGAAAUCUUGUACUUUCUUUAAAAAGG